rnacentral:rRNA from 1 species
GAUGAACGCUGGCGGCGUACCUAACACAUGCAAGUCGAGCGAUUCUCUUCGGAGAAGAGCGGCGGACGGGUGAGUAACGCGUGGGUAACCUGCCCUGUACACACGGAUAACAUACCGAAAGGUAUGCUAAUACGGGAUAACAUAUUUUAGUCGCAUGGCUAAGAUAUCAAAGCUCCGGCGGUACAGGAUGGACCCGCGUCUGAUUAGCUAGUUGGUGAGGUAAUGGCUCACCAAGGCGACGAUCAGUAGCCGACCUGAGAGGGUGAUCGGCCACACUGGAACUGAGACACGGUCCAGACUCCUACGGGAGGCAGCAGUGGGGAAUAUUGCACAAUGGGCGAAAGCCUGAUGCAGCAACGCCGCGUGAGCGAUGAAGGCCUUCGGGUCGUAAAGCUCUGUCCUCAAGGAAGAUAAUGACGGUACUUGAGGAGGAAGCCCCGGCUAACUACGUGCCAGCCGCCGCAGUAAGAC